AGAGUUUGAUCAUGGCUCAGGAUGAACGCUAGCUACAGGCUUAACACAUGCAAGUCGAGGGGCAGCAUCAUCAAAGCUUGCUUUGAUGGAUGGCGACCGGCGCACGGGUGAGUAACACGUAUCCAACCUGCCGACAACACUGGGAUAGCCUUUCGAAAGAAAGAUUAAUACCGGAUGGCAUAGUUUUCCCGCAUGGGAUAAUUAUUAAAGAAUUUCGGUUGUCGAUGGGGAUGCGUUCCAUUAGGCAGUUGGCGGGGUAACGGCCCACCAAACCUACGAUGGAUAGGGGUUCUGAGAGGAAGGUCCCCCACAUUGGAACUGAGACACGGUCCAAACUCCCACGGGAGGCAGCAGUGAGGAAUAUUGGUCAAUGGACGAGAGUCUGAACCAGCCAAGUAGCGUGAAGGAUGACUGCCCUAUGGGUUGUAAACUUCUUUUAUACGGGAAUAAAGUGAGCCACGUGUGGCUUUUU
rnacentral:rRNA from 1 species